GCUUGUCUCAAAGAUUAAGCCAUGCAUGUCUAAGUAUAAGCCUUUAUAUGGUGAGACUGCGAAUGGCUCAUUAAAUCAGAAACUGUUUAUUUGAUAGUGCCUACUACAUGGAUACCUGUAGUAAUUCUAGAGCUAAUACAUGCAAAAAGCCUGGACUUCUGGAACAGGCGUAUUUAUUAGAUAUACAGAACCAACCCAGGCUCCGCCUGGCCUUGAGGUGAUUCACAAUAACCGAACGAAUCGCAUAGCUGCCGCUGGCGAUAGACCAUUCAAGUUUCUGACCUAUCAGCUAUCGUCGGUAGGGUAUUGGCCUACCGUGGCAAUGACGGGUAACGGAGAAUUAGGGUUCGAUUCCGGAGAGGGAGCCUGAGAAACGGCUACCACAUCUAAGGAAGGCAGCAGG
rnacentral:rRNA from 1 species